ensembl:lncRNA
CUGAAAUGGUUUGAUAUCGGAGCCAAUGAUUCUAUGAGAUGAGGUUACUAAAAGGACCAAGCCCAGGCAUGUUCAAGGUUGUUGCAGCGGCUGGUAAGCUACAGUAUUGCUGUCACUAUUAUUAACACUGAGUAACUAACUACGCAUUUGUAGCCUACUCACUUCUAACAGCCCAUGGGUGGAGUACUCAACAGAUGUGAGCUGAGUCGAAUGGCAACCAUUCCAGUGGACUUUGCUCCUACUACAGCUUCACCAUUAUAUUGAUAAGCCAGAUGAGGAUACCCUGUAUGUCACUCCCCUGGGCAAUCCCUCUAGGAAACUAUACUGCCAUUAUGGAUCUUUCCUCACAGUGAACUCUACAACACAGUUUCCCCAAAGUUUGCACAGGGUCAUUGAAGCAUGCUGGGGCUCAUUGAUCCAGCAGUGUGACACAGGCAGCUUCCCAGUCAGUGUCACUCCCCUGCCAACCCAUUCACAGUAACGCUGAGCCAUUCAGGAUUCUGCCCAUUGAUUCUCUACACCCCAUUGAUUCUCUAUACCCCAUUGAUGACAGGUUUGUGUGUGGGCAGGCAGAUCAGUGAAGCCAAUGAAUGAAAGGGGUCCUAAUGCAGAAUGUAUCUCACACAGAAUUAUCACAGAUAAUCAAAGAUGAUGUUUUGUAUAACAUGCAUUAUGGAUAGCUUUCCAAGGUGGAUAGCUUUAAAGACACGGGUUGUAAUGUAGCCUUACCAGACUACAGUACCUAAAUCAAUGAAAGAGUGGAAUUACCAGUCUGGAUCUGCGGUAUGUUACCAUACAAAGACAUGGAGAAGGACAGGUUCACAAUCAAUAGCCGUAUUCUACUGUAGUUUGAAUGCAAGGUAUUUUCACGUGGCACUACAAAUCAAAUCCCAUGCGCCGAAUAAACCGGUUUAGACCUUACAAGCCCUUAACCAACAAUGCAGUUUUAAGAAAAAUAAGACUGGUUACCUUGGACAUAAUGUCCCUCCAGUCCUACUGGCUGAAAACAAGAGCUUUUAAUUCACUCAUCCCAUAAAGGCAUCACUGCAACCUCAAAGGAGUGUGUGUGUGUGUGUGUGUGUGUGUGUGUGUGUGUGUGUGUGUGUGUGUGUGUGUGUGUGUGUGUGUGUGUGUGUGUGUGUGUGUGUGUGUGUGUGUGUGUGUGUGUGUCUUUGCCUCGCCAAGCCUACUGGAGAUACUGACCUUUCCUCCUGGGAAGAAUCUAAUGUCCGUGUGUGCCUGUAUGCUGAGAGCAGAGAGAGGAAUGUUUUAUCUGCUUUCAAAAUGGAAAAAAGCUCUCAACUGCUGCAUUAAAAAAGCAUGUUGGUCUGUCUGUAACGCAGUGCCCACUGAAGUACAGCCCGGUGAAUAUAGCUAGAUGAAAGGAUAAGCAAAAAAGGUCUGAAAACUGCAUCGCUCUCUCUCUCUUUUACUCUUUCUCUCUUCCCCAGGACUCCCCUUCUCUCCCUCUUUUCUCCCCUCUCUCACUCUCUUUCUUCAAUCUCUCUCUCAUCCCCUUCUCUCCCUCUUUCCUCCCCUCUCUCUCUCCUCCUCCCCCCUCUUAGUAAAGUACAGUACAGGCUCGGUAUGGUUUCAUGGCUUCGUAUCAAAAAGGACAUGGCUACCCCCAGGGCUGGCCUCCAUCCCAGGACUAUACUGUUAGAAUCAAGGGCUUCAUCCCCAGGACUAUACUGUUAAAAUCAAGGGCUUCAUCCCCAGGACUAUACUGUUAGAAUCAAGGGCUUCAUCCCCAGGACUAUACUAAUCAAGGGCUUCAUCCCCAGGACUAUACUGUUAGAAUCAAGGGCUUCAUCCCCAGGACUAUACUGUUAGAAUCAAGGGCUUCAUCCCCAGGACUAUACUGAUCAAGGGCUUCAUCCCCAGGACUAUACUGUUAGAAUCAAGGGCUUCAUCCCCAGGACUAUACUGAUCAAGGGCUUCAUCCUCAGGACUAUACUGUUAGAAUCAAGGGCUUCAUCCCCAGGACUAUACUGUUAGAAUCAAGGGCUUCAUCCCCAGGACUAUACUGAUCAAGGGCUUCAUCCUCAGGACUAUACUGUUAGAAUCAAGGGCUUGAUCCCCAGUACUAUACUGUUAGAAUCAAGGGUUUCAUCCCCAGGACUAUACUGAUCAAGGGCUUCAUCCUCAGGGCUAUACUGUUAGAAUCAAGGGCUUCAUCCCCAGGACUAUACUGUUAGAAUCAAGGGCUUCAUCCCCAGGACUAUACUGUUAGAAACAAGGGCUUCAUCCCCAGGACUAUACUGUUAGAAUCAAGGGCUUCAUCAAAAAUGGCACCCAAUUCCCUUUAUUGUGCACUCCUUCUGACCCGGAGCCAACCAAGGCCUUUUAUCUGAUUCCACAGAGAAAGAGGCUACACAGGACCAAGGAAUGUACAUUGUGAAAGAAACUACAGUAUAAAAGAGAAGAAGGAGAGAGAGGGGGGGGGCAAAACACAAUGUUUGAUUGAUUUGCUAUCCAGUAGCCGAGCAACGUGGCACACACACACCUCUGAGGGAGUGUGCUAGUACUAGGGUCUGGAUGGGCCUGUCUAUCCCUGUUCUAGCUGCAAAUGGUUGAAACCAGGUAGUGUGUGGGUACUGCCCGUCUUCUGUGUAUACACACACACAUUUUGAAGAGAAUGCCAGUCCUUGGUCAUUGACUGGGUUCAUCCCCUUGCUUUGCACACACACACACACAGCCCGUUCCUUCCUGCUGGUAUAGAGGUGUGGCCCACCUUAUAUCGCUCUCUCAGUCAACCAUGAUAGCCUACCUAGCCAAUACCUGGAAACUCCUCCGUAAGGUAGGGCACUUCAAAACCCGGCCCACAGUUUGUCUUGUUUUUCCUAUUUUUUUAACGCAUGCAUAGUAUUGUGAAUGUGUAUGCUGGAGAGGGUGUGUGUGUGUGUGUGUGUGUGUGUGUGUGUGUGUGUGUGUGUGUGUGUGUGUG